GGGAGGUGUUGGGGCUGCAGGAACAGCGGCGUUUCACCGUGGAGGAGCUGUGCAGCGCUGGGGAAAAGGAGAAGCUCGCUGCGAGGGGCUGCUCGGCCAUGGGAAAAUAGCGCCCGCGCCUUGGACAGUAGAGGGAAUCGGCUGGGUGAAAAAAAAUGGACAGGGUGCUGCAGGGAGAUGGGAGCGACCGGAGGUUGAAGACAACGGAGAAAGCGCUACUCGCAGGGGGAAAUGCCAUGGGAGAGAGAGGUGGACGAGCUGCUGGCUGGAGGAAGAAGAAGGGGGAGCCGGCUGGAAUUUUCUGGGCGCCAUGGAUCAGAGAGCAGGGCGGCCAGGGAGAAGAAGAGGGUGCCUUGCUGCAGGGGCGCUGGCUUGCUGCUGGCCGUGGAGCAGGGGACACGCCCAGGAGAAGGACAGGGAGCGCGCUCGGCUGGAGGUUCUGCUUGCCUGCAGGGAGCGCACGGCUGCUCUCCAUCCCUGUAGGGCGAGCGACAGCAGGGGAGAGAGGCCGACCGUCGAGGUUGCUGCCCCCCCCCCCCCCCCCC
rnacentral:misc_RNA from 1 species